rnacentral:rRNA from 1 species
GACGAACGCUGGCGGCGUGCUUAACACAUGCAAGUCGAACGGAAAGGCCCUGCUUUUGUGGGGUGCUCGAGUGGCGAACGGGUGAGUAACACGUGAGUAACCUGCCCUUGACUUUGGGAUAACUUCAGGAAACUGGGGCUAAUACCGGAUAGGAGCUCCUGCUGCAUGGUGGGGGUUGGAAAGUUUAGGCGGUUGGGGAUGGACGCGCGGCUUAUCAGCUGGUUGGUGGGGUAGUGGCUUACCAAGGCUUUGACGGGUAGUCGGCCUGAGAGGGUGGCCACCCACAUGGGGACUGAGAUACGGACCAGACUCCUACGGGAGGCAGCAGGGGGGAAUAUUGCACAAUGGGCGGAAGCCUGAUGCAGCAGCGCCGCGUGCGGGAUGACGGCCUUCGGGUUGUAAACCGCUUUAGCCUGUGACGAAGCGUGAGUGACGGUAAUGGGUAAAGAAGCACCGGCUAACUACGUG